GACGAACGCUGGCGGCGUGCUUAACACAUGCCAGUCGAACGGAAAGGCCCUGCUUUUGUGGGGUGCUCGAGUGGCGAACGGGUGAGUAACACGUGAGUAACCUGCCCUUGACUUUGGGAUAACUUCAGGAAACUGGGGCUAAUACCGGAUAGGAGCUCCUGCUGCAUGGUGGGGGUUGGAAAGUUUCGGCGGUUGGGGAUGGACUCGCGGCUUAUCAGCUUGUUGGUGGGGUAGUGGCUUACCAAGGCUUUGACGGGUAGCCGGCCUGAGAGGGUGACCGGCAACAUUGGGAGUGAGAUACGGCCCAGACUCCUACGGGAGGCAGGAGUGGGGAAUAUUGCACGAUGGGCGGAAGCCUGAUGCAGCAACGCCGCGUGCGGGAUGACGGCCUUCGGGUUGUAGACCGCUUUCGCCUGUGACGAAGCGUGGGUGACGGUAAUGGGUAAAGAAGCACCGGCUAACUACGUG
rnacentral:rRNA from 1 species